UUCCAGACUCCUACGGGAGGCACCAGUGGGGGAUAUUGCACAAUGGGGGGAACCCUGAUGCAGCGACGCCGCGUGGGUGAAGAAGCGCCUCGGCGCGUAAAGCCCUGUCAGCAGGGAAGAAAAUGACGGUACCUGAAGAAGAAGCCCCGGCUAACUACGUGCCGGCAGCCGCGGUAAUACGUAGGGGGCAAGCGUUAUCCGGAUUUACUGGGUGUAAAGGGGGCGCAGACGGCGGUGCAAGCCAGGAGUGAAAGCCCGGGGCCCAACCGCGGGACUGCUCUUGGAACUGCGUGGCUGGAGUGCAGGAGGGGCAGGCGGAAUUCCUGGUGUAGCGGUGAAAUGCGUAGAUAUCAGGAGGAACACCGGUGGCGAAGGCGGCCUGCUGGACUGCAACUGACGUUGAGGCCCGAAAGCGUGGGGAGCAAACAGGAUUAGAUACCCUCGUA
rnacentral:rRNA from 1 species